rnacentral:rRNA from 1 species
AGAGUUUGAUCCUGGCUCAGGAUGAACGCUGGCGGCGUGCUUAACACAUGCAAGUCGAACGGAGUUAUCAUUUUUGAAGCGAUUAGCUUGCUAAGAGUGGAAAAGUUGAUAACUUAGUGGCGGACGGGUGAGUAACGCGUGGGUAACCUGCCUUACACAGGGGGAUAACACUUAGAAAUAGGUGCUAAUACCGCAUAAGCGCACAGUCCCGCAUGGGACAGAGUGAAAAACAUUAGUGGUGUAAGAUGGACCCGCGUCUGAUUAGCUGGUUGGCGGGGUAACGGCCCACCAAGGCGACGAUCAGUAGCCGGCCUGAGAGGGUGGACGGCCACAUUGGGACUGAGACGCGGCCCAAACUCCUACGGGAGGCAGCAGUGGGGGAUAUUGGACAAUGGGGGAAACCCUGAUCCAGCGACGCCGCGUGAGUGAAGAAGUAUUUCGGUAUGUAAAGCUCUAUCAGCAGGGAAGAAAGAAAUGACGGUACCUGAGUAAGAAGCCCCGGCUAACUACGUG